rnacentral:rRNA from 1 species
CCUACGUGAGGCAGCAGUGAGGAAUAUUGGUCAAUGGACGCCAGUCUGAACCAGCCAUGCCGCGUGCAGGAAGACGGCUCUAUGAGUUGUAAACUGCUUUUGUACGAGGGUAAACGCAGAUACGCGUAUCUGUUUGAAAGUAUCGUACGAAUAAGGAUCGGCUAACUCCGUGCCAGCAGCCGCGGUAAUACGGAGGAUUCAAGCGUUAUCCGGAUUUAUUGGGUUUAAAGGGUGCGUAGGCGGUCGGAUAAGUUAGAGGUGAAAGCUCGAGGCUCAACUGCGGAAUUGCCUCUGAUACUGGUAGUCUAGAGAGUAGUAGCGGUAGGCGGAAUGUAUGGUGUAGCGGUGAAAUGCUUAGAGAUCAUACAGAACACCGAUUGCGAAGGCAGCUUACCAAACUAUAUCUGACGUUGAGGCACGAAAGCGUGGGUAGCAAACAGGAUUAGAUACCCUAGUAGUC